AGCAUUGAAACACCAGUUCCCUGUACGAUCACUGAAGUUAAGCAACGUCGAGCCUGGUUAGUACCUAGAUGGGUGACCUCUUGGAAAUACCAGGUAUUGUA
rnacentral:rRNA from 1 species